UUGCCUACGGGAGGCAGCAGUGGGGAAUAUUGGGCAAUGGGGGCAACCCUGACCCAGCAACGCCGCGUGAAGGAGGAAGGCCUUCGGGUUGUAAACUUCUUUGAUCAGGGACGAAACAAAUGACGGUACCUGAAGAACAAGCCACGGCUAACUACGUGCCAGCAGCCGCGGUAAUACGUAGGUGGCAAGCGUUAUCCGGAUUUACUGGGUGGAAAGGGCGUGUAGGCGGGUCUGCAAGUCGGGUGUGAAAUUUCCGGGCUUAACCCGGACAGGUCAUCCGAAACUGCAGAUCUUGAGUACUGGAGAGGAUAGUGGAAUUCCUAGUGUAGCGGUAAAAUGCGUAGAUAUUAGGAGGAACACCAGUGGCGAAGGCGGCUAUCUGGACAGUAACUGACGCUGAGGCGCGAAAGCGUGGGGAGCAAACAGGAUUAGAUACCCCGUAGUCCAC
rnacentral:rRNA from 1 species